AGAAAGCCUGUGUGCAGUGGACUUCAGUGUCAUAGGUCUUGGACUCUUUUUGCGCUGACUGGUGCACGGGGAAUUGCUGGACUAAAUGACAGACUCCUUUAGGAUCUGAUUUUUUUUUCCCUUUGUUAAAGAAAAAUGCCUUCCUUGAGUGGAAAAGUGCAGACUGUCUUGGGCCCUGUGGAGCCAGACUGUCUU
rnacentral:lncRNA from 1 species